CUAUAUGACAAUGACGACGAUGUCGUUGAAAAGGUCAAAAUUUCGUCCACAGAAGCCCUUAGUGCUGUAGAAACUGUUGUAAGAUUUAUGGAGGAACAAAAUGCAGAAAAUAUCGAAAUCAUUCAUCUGCGGCGAAUGACAGACUUCAUAAGAAA